ensembl:lncRNA
CAAAAAUUUCCCCAAAAAUUCCCUAAAAAAUCCUUAAAAUUCCCUAAAAAAAAUCUCAAAAAGUUCCCCAAAUAUUCCCGAAAAAUCCUCAAAAAAUUCCCAAAAAUUCCCUAAAAAUCCCCCAAAAUUUCAGCAAAAAUUCCCUAAAAAUCCUCAAAAAAUUCCCCCAAAAUUCUCUAAAAAUCCCCCAAAAAUCCCAAAAAUUUCUCAAAAAAUUCCAAAAAAAUUCCCCAAAAAUUCUUCAAAAAUUCUCAAAAAAUUCCCAAAAAAUCCCCAAAAAAUCCCCAAAAAUUCCCAAAUAUUCCCAAAAUUCCUAAAAAAUUCCCCAAAUGUUUCAGAUCCACCCGGAGCUGCGGGAGCUGCUGGAGACGAUGAGCAGGAUGAGCUCCCUGCCCCCCGACUUCGAGGGACGGCAGAAAGUGCAGCAGUGGCUGCAGACUCUGAGCGCGAUGUCGGCCUCGGACGAGCUGGACGAUUCCCAGGUGCGUCAGAUGCUCUUCGACCUCGAGUCCGCCUACAACGCCUUCAACCGCUUCCUGCACGCCUGAGAACCCCCAGAACCAGUCCAGACCAGUCCAAACCAGUCCAGACCAGUUCAGACCAGUCCAAACUGGAGUUUGGGAUAAUAAAUGGGAGGGAAAAAUCCCAAAAAUCCCAGAAAAAUUCGUUCAUUUUUUUCCUUUUAAUGGAUCAAACUUGGAGCCAUUCCCAGUUCAAACCAGUCCAGACCAGUCCAGACCAGUUCAAACCAGUCCAGACCAGUCCAAACCAGUUCAGACCAGUCCAAACCAGUCCAAACCAGUUCAAACCAGUCCAAACCAGUUCAGACCAGUUCCCUCCAGCCUCUCCUCCCCGUCAGUCUCAGCUCUCGGAUUUUGCCGCCGGCUUCGUCCGGAUCCACGUCCCCGACGCCGCAGCCUGGGAAUUUUAGGGGAAUUUGGGGAAUUUUGGGAAUUUCAAUUUUGGGAUGACGUCAUCGUUUUUCCCGCCAAAAUUUCCAGCAUUUUCCCCAAAAUUUCCCCAAUUUUUAUUCCCAAAUUCCCCCAAUUUUUCCCCCCAAAUCCCCAAUUUCCCCCCCAAAAUUCCAAUUUUUUCCCCAAAAUCUCCCAAUUUUUUCCCCUAAUUCCCAAUUUUUCCCCCAAAAUUCCCAUUUUUUCACCCAAAAUUCCCUUAAAAAUCCCCAUUUUCCCCUAAAAAUUCCCUUUUUUUUUCCCAAAAAUCCCUCAUUUUUUCCCCAUAAUUCCCAAAAAAAUUCCCAUUUUUUCUCCAAAAUCCCCAUUUUUUUCUCCGCAAAAUUCCCAUUUUUUCUCCCAAAAUUCCCUUUUUUCCCCCAAAAUUCCUAUUUUUUCCCCAAAAAUCCCCCAUUCUCCCCCAAGAUUCCGUAAAAAAAUCCCCAUUUUUCCCCAAAAUUCCCAACUUUCUCUAUAAUUCCCACUUUCCCCCCAAAAUUCCAUUUUCCCCUAAAAUUCCCCCCAAAAUUCCCCUUUUUUCUCAAAAUCCAAAUUUUUCCCCAAAAAAUCCCCAUUUUUCUCCCCAAAAUUCCAAUUUUUUUCCCAAAAUUCCCCAUUUUUCCACCAAAUUCCCAAUUUUCCCCCAAAAUUCCCCUUUUUUUUCCAAAAUGCCCCCAAAAUCCCCAAUUCCCCCUCCAAAAUUCCAUUUUUUCCCUAAAAUUC